rnacentral:tRNA from 1 species
CCUGGUGGCUCAGACGGUAAAGCGUCUGCCUACAAUGCAGGAGACCCGGGUUCGAUUCCUGGGUCAGGA